CCUACGGGAGGCUGCAGUGGGGCAUAUUGCGCAAUGGGCGAAAGCCUGACGCAGCGACGCCGCGUGAGGGAUGCAGGUCUUCGGAUCGUAAACCUCUGUCAGCAGGGAAGCACGGUCACUGUGCUAAUCAGCAGUGACUUGACGGUACCUGCAAAGGAAGCACCGGCUAACUCCGUGCCAGCAGCCGCGGUAAUCCGGCGGGUGCGAGCGUUAAUCGUCAUUACUGGGCGUAAAGCGCUCGUAGGCGGUAUGUCAAGUCAAGGGUGAAAUCCCCGCGCGCAACGUGGGAACUGCCUUUGAAACUGGCAAACUGGAGUGUGUGAGAGGAUAGUGGAAUUCCAGGUGUAGGAGUGAAAUCCGUAGAUAUCUGGAGGAACAUCAGUGGCGAAGGCGACUAUCUGGCACAUAACUGACGCUGAGGAGCGAAAGCGUGGGUAGCAAACAGGAUUAGAUACCCGAGUAGUC
rnacentral:rRNA from 1 species